UACAGAGGGUGCGAGCGUUAAUCGGAAUUACUGGGCGUAAAGCGCACGUAGGCGGCUUGGUAUGUCGGGUGUGAAAUCCCCGGGCUCAACCUGGGAACUGCAUCCGAAACUGCCUUGCUAGAGUAUGGGAGAGGGAAGUGGAAUUUCCGGUGUAGCGGUGAAAUGCGUAGAUAUCGAGAGGAACACCUGCGGCGAAGGCGGGUUGCUGGGCUGACACUGACGCUGAUGCGCGAAAGCCAGGGGAGCGAACGGG
rnacentral:rRNA from 1 species